rfam:Schistosoma mansoni strain Puerto Rico chromosome 3, complete genome
ACAUUGCUGAGGAGUCCCACAAUAGGACGAGACGGCCUUCCAGUAC